UACGUAGGUGGCAAGCGUUGUCCGGAAUUAUUGGGCGUAAAGCGCGCGCAGGCGGUCCUUUAAGUCUGAUGUGAAAGCCCACGGCUCAACCGUGGAGGGUCAUUGGAAAACUGGGGGGACUUGAGUACAGAAGAGAAGAGUGGAAUUCCACGUGUAGCGGUGAAAUGCGUAGAGAUGUGGAGGAACACCAGUGGCGAAGGCGACUCUUUGGUCUGUAACUGACGCUGAGGCGCGAAAGCGUGGGGAGCAAACAGG
rnacentral:rRNA from 1 species